rnacentral:tRNA from 1 species
GUCAAGGUGCCAGAGUGGUUAAUGGGCUGCCCUGCUAUCAAAACCUUGAUUCCAGAUUAGGCAGUGGCUUCGGUCGCGCAGGUUCGAAUCCUGUCCUUGACG